rnacentral:rRNA from 1 species
GAACACGUGUGCAACCUGCCUUUAUCAGGGGGAUAUCCUUUCUAAAGGAAGAUUAAUACCCCAUAAUAUAUUGAGUGGCAUCACUUAAUAUUGAACACUCCGGUGGAUAGAGAUGGGCUCUCGCAAGAUUAUAUAGUUGGUGAGGUAACGGCUCACCAAGUCUGCUAUCUUUAGGGGGCCUGAGAGGGUGAUCCCCCGCACUGGUACUGACACACCCACCCCACUCCUACGGGAGGCAGCAGUGAGGAAUAUUGGACAAUGGGUGCGAGCCUGAUCCAGCCAUCCCGCGUGAAGGACGACGGCCCUAUGGGUUGUAAACUUCUUUUGUAUAGGGAUAAACCUACUCUCGUGAGAGUAGCUGAAGGUACUAUACAAAUAAACCCCGGCUAACUCCGUGCCAGCACCCGCGGUAAUACGGAGGGUGCCAGCGUUAUCCGGAUUUAUUGGGUUUAAAGGGUCCGUAGGCGGAUCUGUAAGUCAGUGGUGAAAUCUCACAGCUUAACUGUGAAACUGCCAUUGAUACUGCANGUCUUGAGUGUUGUUGAANUANCUGGAAUAAGUAGUGUAGCGGAGAAAUGCAUAGAUAUUACUUAGAACACCAAUUGCGAAGGCAGGUUACUACUCCACAACUGACGCUGAUGGACGAAAGCGUGGGGGAGC